rnacentral:rRNA from 1 species
UACGUAGGGUGCAAGCGUUGUCCGGAAUUAUUGGGCGUAAAGAGCUCGUAGGCGGUCUGUCGCGUCGGCUGUGAAAACCCGAGGCUCAACCUCGGGCCUGCAGUCGAUACGGGCAAACUAGAGUACUGCAGGGGAGACUGGAAUUCCUGGUGUAGCGGUGAAAUGCGCAGAUACCAGGAGGAACACCAAUGGCGAAGGCAGCUCGCUGGGACGGUACUGACGCUGAGACGGCGAAAGCGUGGGGAGCAAACAGGG